AACGAACGCUGGCGGCUGGCUUAACACAUGCAAGUCGAACGGGUGUAGCAAUACAUCAGUGGCAGACGGGUGAGUAACACGUGGGAACCUUCCUAGAGGUACGGAACAACUCAGGGAAACUUGAGCUAAUACCGUAUACGCUCUUGCGAGGAAAGAUUUAUCGCCUUUAGACGGGCCCGCGUAGGAUUAGGUAGUUGGUGAGGUAACGGCCCACCAAGCCUACGAUCCUUAGCUGAUCUGAGAGGAUGAUCAGCCACACUGGAACUGAGACACGGUCCAGACUCCUACGGGAGGCAGCAGUGGGGAAUCUUGGACAAUGGGCGCAAGCCUGAUCCAGCCAUGCCGCGUGAGUGAAGAAGGCCUUCGGGUUGUAAAGCUCUUUUGUCAGGGACGAUAAUGACGGUACCUGAAGAAUAAGCCCCGGCAAACUUCGUGCCAGCCGCCGCGGUAA
rnacentral:rRNA from 1 species